rnacentral:rRNA from 1 species
GAGUUUGAUCCUGGCUCAGAGCGAACGCUGGCGGCAGGCCUAACACAUGCAAGUCGAACGAACUCUUCGGAGUUAGUGGCGGACGGGUGAGUAACACGUGGGAACGUGCCUUUUGGUUCGGAAUAACUCAGGGAAACUUGUGCUAAUACCGAAUGUGCCCUUCGGGGAAGAUUUAUCGCCAUUAGAGCGGCCCGCGUCUGAUUAGCUAGUUGGUGAGGUAAAGGCUCACCAAGGCGACGAUCAGUAGCUGGUCUGAGAGGAUGAUCAGCCACAUUGGGACUGAGACACGGCCCAAACUCCUACGGGAGGCAGCAGUGGGGAAGUCUUGCGCAAUGGGCGAAAGCCUGACGCAGCCAUGCCGCGUGAAUGAUGAAGGUC